rnacentral:lncRNA from 1 species
UUUAUAGUAGAUUAUGAAGAAAUUCCGUGUACGUGAUUUUGCUGUGUCUUUGCAUAAGAUGGAUUUAAGAAUCUACAGAUCAUUCGUUAAAAUUUGGCAAGGUGGGGCCACAAUAUUCUUAUCAAUAGAACUGAACAAAACUAUAUGUAUGAAGACAUCAGGUUAGAUGAUGCCGAGCAGGUAGAAAACCUGGCUGACAAAGAGUAGGACUCAAUCAGUGGACCAGAAGAAAAUAUAGAAAUAACCAUUAACCAAUGAUAUUGAAAAUAUUUUUAGAGAUUUUCAAUAGGGACUAAAAGUGUCUUGGUAUUCGUCAAAUCAAACCUAAAAAAUGUUAAAAAGUGUAAGAGGAAAAGGGCAGGACAAUUCAUGAUUUUGUUGUACACCUAAGAAGAAAUGCCUAAGGCUACAAUGUGAUUUACUUAGGUAGUAUAUUAUUUAAUAAUUACAAGCAUGGUUAUAACUAUGAUUAUAAAUUAUA